GACGAACGCUGGCGGCGUGCUUAACACAUGCAAGUCGAACGGAAAGGCCCUUCGGGGUACUCGAGUGGCGAACGGGUGAGUAACACGUGGGUGAUCUGCCCUGCACUUUGGGAUAAGCCUGGGAAACUGGGUCUAAUACCGAAUAGGACUACGGCCUUCAUGGGUUGUGGUGGAAAGCUUUUGCGGGGUGGGAUGGGCCCGCGGCCUAUCAGCUUGUUGGUGGGGUAAUGGCCUACCAAGGCGACGACGGGUAGCCGGCCUGAGAGGGUGACCGGCCACACUGGGACUGAGAUACGGCCCAGACUCCUACGGGAGGCAGCAGUGGGGAAUAUUGCACAAUGGGCGCAAGCCUGAUGCAGCGACGCCGCGUGAGGGAUGACGGCCUUCGGGUUGUAAACCUCUUUCAGCAGGGACGAAGCGCAAGUGACGGUACCUGUAGAAGAAGGACCGGCCAACUACGUGCCAGCCGCCGCAGUAAUAC
rnacentral:rRNA from 1 species